GAUAAACGCUGGCGGCGUGCCUAAUACAUGCAAGUCGGACGAGGGAGACAAAGCUUGCUUUGUCAACCUAGUGGCGAACGGGUGAGUAACACAUAAGCAACCUGCCCACGGAGACCGGGAUAAUCUCUGGAAACGGGGACUAAAACCGGAUAGGCAGUAAUGAGGCAUCUCAAUACUGUUAAAGGUGAGAGACACUGGUGGAUGGGCUUAUGGCGCAUUAGCUAGUUGGUGAGGUAACGGCCCACCAAGGCGAUGAUGCGUAGCCGGCCUGAGAGGGUGAACGGCCACAUUGGGACUGAGACACGGCCCAGACUCCUACGGGUGGCUG
rnacentral:rRNA from 1 species